GACGAACGCUGGCGGCGUGCUUAACACAUGCAAGUCGAACGGAAAGGCCCUGCUUUUGUGGGGUGCUCGAGUGGCGAACGGGUGAGCAACACGUGAGUAACCUGCCCUUGACUUUGGGAUAACUUCAGGAAACUGGGGCUAAUACCGGAUAGGAGCUCCUGCUGCAUGGUGGGGGUUGGAAAGUUUCGGCGGUUGGGGAUGGACUCGCGGCUUAUCAGCUUGUUGGUGGGGUAGUGGCUUAUCAAGGCUUUGACGGGUAGCCGGCCUGAGAGGGUGACCGGCCACAUUGGGACUGAGAUACGGCCCAGACUCCUACGGGAGGCAGCAGUGGGGAAUAUUGCACAAUGGGCGGAAGCCUGAUGCAGCAACGCCGCGUGCGGUAUGACGGCCUUCGGGUUGUAAACCGCUUUCGCCUGUGACGAAGCGUGAGUGACGGUAAUGGGUAAAGAAGCACCGGCUAACUACGUG
rnacentral:rRNA from 1 species